UGGGCGGAGCGAUUGAUCGAACUAAAGUGGUAGUUUCCGAAUGACGAGCGGACCUCCGGAAAUCUCUAAGCAGGCCAAGAGCCAAGUACUGCAUGUUUUUUCUGCAUAUGUGUCAGCUGGAAUUUGUACAUCAGAAAAAGACUUGUAGCAAUCCUCACAAGUCCAAUAGCCCGUUGGCAUCUCAUAUUUUUCAGGUAAGAAAUCCUUUUGAACAGGAGGGACCACUGUUCUAUCUUUUCCAUGUCUUGCACAAUUAAGAAAUGAUUCUGUCCCAUUCCCCCGCUCCCACAUGCCCGAGGCCCUCUUCUAAGUAAGAUGAAGGUAACCACAUAAUGGCUAGCUCAUGAGCCAAGCCGUAUUCCCAUCUUAAUUAUGGGCUUUAUGAAAGACAGAUAUAGCUACAUUUCACUAGCUAAACACUCAGCAAAAUGAGGAAUUGAGGGCCAUUCAUUUGCAAGAGAGCUGAAUGCAUAUCUACCAAACAAUACAAUGGAAAAGGACAUUGUACUUGGAUCUAGAAAAACUCCAGAAAAUUCUUACAUGUUUUUUGGUUCUUUUUAACUUUAAGUGGACAUAAAAUCAUAAUCUCAUUACCAGAUAGACUUGAAAUUUAGAACCAAAUGUUAUAUUCAGCAAGUUUUACGUGCCCAUGCUGGUUCCCUAUCAAUUUUCUUGUGAACAUUGGUGAUGUUCUGGGGUAGUGCCGAAUUAGUUUUUGAACUCAUGCCAUGGCAAAAGCUGUAUUUAGAUGGCAGUAUCAGAAUUAGCCAAGAAAUUAUAUGGAUUACUCAUGAAAGGAUGAUGUUUUGGAGAAUCUAUAGUAUGUGCACUGCUUAUGUCACAGAGGCAAAUUCAACAUAAAAUUAGACUGUGAAGUACCUUAUACCAUUGCAAACGAUGAUGCCAUCCACUUUUCCUUUUGAUAUCUGAUGCCUUUAUAUUAGAAUUUAAUCAGUACUUUGGCUAUCAAAUCACAAACUGGGCUUCCCAAACUUUCCAUUGACAGACAGCAGUCAUUGAAUGAGAUCUUCCAGCAGGCUGAACAGCUCAACCAUACAAAAAUGUAGUUUCUUCACUAUGUUCUGACAUGUCAACACCCCUUUGGCACAGUCGUAGUGGCUCAGUAAAAUGCUAAAAGUAGAGUUUUGGAGAUCCAAAAUGUGAAUCCCAAAUAAUGAAUAAGAUAAACACUGUAUAAAAUUUAAUUUCUGAUCAUAACAUUCCAAUUGAUGCCUGCAUUUGUAAAAUGCAUUGUUUUGAAGCCCAAUGAAUGUGAAGACAUAGCUUCCACUAGCCUGAACCACUCCUCUCCCCUUAAAAAACAUACUUCUGACAAGAUAUUUUAAGAAUAACUGAAGAACCAUUUCUCAUUUUAUCAGUGAAAAGAAUAAAGUCACUAGUUUUAAGCACCAGUACAUGGGUUUUAGGCUAUUUAAACAAAGCCAUAGGGCCCCAGACUUUUAUAGGAGUAAAGGUCUAUCAUACCACAAGGUCUGGAGAAUACAUUCAGUUGUCAAGAGCUUACCAGAAAGAUAUAUUCCUGAGUAGGGCUUUAAGACACUAGCUUAAUUCUUGAAGCUAACUUAGCCCCUUUAAAUUCUAAACAAUUUGCCUAAUUGCAUCUUAGCAUGCAGCAGUCACUAGUAGAAUUUAAAAGUAUUUACUGUUUCUGCAUUCCUCAUUUCACAAUGUAACAUACCAUGGGUGGUUGUUAAUUAUCUCUAUUUGUUCAUAUACUUAUUCUAUCCAUAAUGCCAAAACCAGCUGGUCUUUUCUAAUCCCCCUAAAAAACCCCACCCCAUCUUAAAUGCCAUUUAGAGGUGUUGUAAGGAGUAGGUGUGUGGAAAUGUAACCCUUGCUAAAUUGCUGGUCAUAGUUAUAAUUAUAACUCUAUAUGGAAGCAACAAACUUUAGAAUCAGAUAGCUCACAAUCUAAAUUCCCCACCUACUUACAAUUUCUUUGGGGACUGUGACAUGAUUAAAUAAGGAUAAUCUGUUGUUAAAAAUUUAAAAAACGGUCAGAAAAAGGUCUUGUUCUACCAGAUAGUGACAUAGAUAAUACAAGAGGAAGGCAUGGGAUCAAUGUCUUACAGUCUAUCACAUUGGGUAGCUGGUAGGACCAUAUUACAAAUGUAUAUCAUGUCCUCCAUUUACACUUACAGCUUUAUUGGCAUUAUAAAAUUCUAAUAGAAUUUUAAGAGCAUAUUGAAUUAACCCCAUAACAUUCUGCACUGCCAGUAAGUUUCAUGAUCACAUUUUUGAAAAGCAUAUUUUUUCCAGGCACAACUACAAGGGUAACCUAACCUCUUUUGGAAUCUCUUGUACCCAAAGGACCCUACUUCAUACCCUUCCUUCCUGGGGCAGAAUAGCCAUCUUCAAAAAAUGGUUAUUGUUUAGAAGUUCCACAAGAAUGCCAGGUGAAAAUCUUUUGUGCCCAAAAGCUUCAAUGCUCAGCUUUCGAUUGAAAUAUUGCACAGCAUUUAAUUUAGAUUAAAGCUAUCCCUAUGUGGGAUUCUUUGUGGGCAGAGUGGGAGAAAAACAGUUAGAUGGCUUUCUCUCCAUAACAACAAAAUCUUCCUUUUUAAACACUUGUGUUGACUUUGGAAGAGCAUUUCUUAAUCCAUACUGUGAUCUAUUAAAAAUGGCACCUGCUUUCAAUGGCCAUCAAGAGUAAAGCUCCCUCAAGCAUUUUGUAGAAACAGUGAAGAGAUGACUUCUGAAUCUGCUCAGUGGCAGAACACAGGCUCUAGGCGCUUCCUAGUAACGCUUAACCUUCUGUAUAGACAAGCAGACUCAUCUUUUGGCCUUAACUAAAACAAUGUUUAACAAUAUGUUUGAAA